CCUACGGGAGGCAGCAGUGAGGAAUAUUGGUCAAUGGGCGGAAGCCUGAACCAGCCAAGCCGCGUGAGGGAGGAAGGUACAGAGUAUCGUAAACCUCUUUUGUCAGGGAACAAAGGCGGGGACGUGUCCCCGGAUGAGUGUACCUGAAGAAAAAGCAUCGGCUAACUCCGUGCCAGCAGCCGCGGUAAUACGGAGGAUGCGAGCGUUAUCCGGAUUUAUUGGGUUUAAAGGGUGCGCAGGCGGUCUGUUAAGUCAGCGGUCAAAGCCCGGGGCUCAACCCCGGCCCGCCGUUGAAACUGGCAGUCUCGAGUUGGAGAGAAGUAUGCGGAAUGCGCGGUGUAGCGGUGAAAUGCAGAGAUAUCGCGCAGAACUCCGAUUGCGAAGGCAGCAUGCCGGCUCCACACUGACGCUGAGGCACGAAAGCGUGGGUAUCGAACAGGAUUAGAUACCCUUGUAGUC
rnacentral:rRNA from 1 species